GCCGCGGUGCUGCGGGUCCGGGCGGCCGGGACGGAGGUGAUCCUCCUCCGGGCAGGCCAGCGGUGGCCCGGCCGGAUCCUUGGGGCCGUCCCCCGCUCCUCGCGGAGGAGCCUGGCCGGGCUGCAGGGUGCGGCUCGGGGCGGUGGUGUUUGCGGUCGUACCGGCUCGUCUUUGGCUCUUUAAAUUGUCCUUUACACUCAAAGGCUCCCUUUAGUUUCCCCCUAAAGUUAGAACACCGCAUGACGCUGAAAAUCAUUUCUGCCUUCUCAUGAUCUGUCUGGAGACUUCUGCCAGCUGAGGGCUGGAGGUUCCUCUGGAGCCAGCUUUGUAAUGGAAGCAGGCUUUCUCCCAGCAGGGGUGGAUGAAGGCAUAGAAAAGGCAGUGUGCGUUUGUGGUUUGAUUAUGUUGGGUUUUUUUUAACCAUCACUGUAUCUUAACUAAGGUGUUUUUCAUACUGACUGUAUAGUUGGGAGUGGAUUUGCAACCGAACAGCCUGUGUUCAAGUAAACAGAGAUGCUUGGUGAUUUGGUAUGUUAACCCUAACUAUAAGGCUUCAGAGAGGAGGUAGUGUCUCUUCCAGAGUAUUACAUCUUAUACAUUUUAAUAAUAAGAUUGGAACAGGUUUAUAAAAUGUGUUAAUAUCUCUUCCACAUAUUUUUCUAGGGUAUAACAGUUACCAAUGACAACGAAAGCAAACUUUCCUGUGGCAGCAGGGUCUAUAGUUGUCCCUUACGGGCAUGUGGUUGGAAAUGAGAAGUGGAGAGGGUCAGAGAUAGCCCAAAGGCUACAAGCUGCUGAGCACUGUAGGGAAGGAGCAAAAGUACCAGCUUCUUGGAAACCACAGUAGUGGGACCAUUGUGAAUGUGCAUCUCCACUGAAGUCCCUUGAAUUUACAUGGAUACUGGGACUGCGCUGUCAUCUCUUGGUGCAGCAAACUAAGGAAAAAUUAGACUCAUCUUUGAAGAUGACUUGGGACUCGUGGAUUUUCAUAUUUCAAACAGAAUUUGCAUUUUAUAUAUUUCUGAAGCAGAUUUGGUUGCAGGGGAUGAAUUCAAACGAAGAUUGGUUCGGUUUAGAAAUGCCAGUAGCCUUGGGGGAAUUGUAAUUGUAGAGAAAACCCAAAUAAGUGAUCAGUACUUCUUAGCAGUACAAAAGCUUGUUGUGCUAGAACUUGGAAUGGUGUUGCUUCCUGUAGCAAAUCAAAGAGAAGCUUCUCAACUUAUUACUCAGCUAGUCCGUGAACAAAGUAAGGAUCACAACAGUAACCCCUUUCUCCGUAAACAACGCUCUCAGCUGGCAGAGCCAGCGGUGUUUCGGACAGUGCAACAAAUUCCAGGAGUUGGGAAAACAAAAGCUCUGCUUUUACUGCAACAGUUUGGAAGCAUCCACCGGCUUUGCAACGCAUCUGUUGAAGAGCUUGAGCUAGUAGUUGGACAAACGGCAGCACAACAAAUCUACACUUUUUUAUGCUCCUGAUGUGCAUAUGUAGUGCUGUUUUGGAAAACACACUUUUUGUUUGUUUCUUGUGAAUUAUAAAAUCUUGUUUUCAAUAAUCGCAUAUUAUGGCAAUUUCUAUAAUCCUGGUAACAGUUGGAAGGUGUUGACUAAUUGUCUAAGUAUUCCACUGCUACCAUUUUACAGCUGUUCUGCCCAUGUGGAUUAAGCUGCGAAAAUUGCCUUGGGAAGAGGGCUAUAAAGUGUUUUGCAUCUGUCUCGUACAAAAAGAAGAGAGAAAGCAGUCUUUUUCAGUAUCCAUGGGAAAAAAAGGAGAAGCAAUUUGCUUGCCUGCUUUCAUCUUCCAGAAAUAAACACCUUGUUAAUACUGGGAGGUGUCAGCUUCACAGUAGUUGGAGAUGUGAGUUACACUGCUUUGAAAAGUUAGCAUCUCUUGCUUUAUAGUAAUAUAUUUUCUAACUUUUUGGAAUUCCUUUGGAAAGUCCUACAGGAAUAAAUCUUUGUCUUUACAUUAA